rnacentral:rRNA from 1 species
UACGUAGGGUGCAAGCGUUGUCCGGAAUUAUUGGGCGUAAAGAGCUCGUAGGCGGUUUGUCGCGUCUGCUGUGAAAACUCGGGGCUUAACCCUGGGCCUGCAGUGGGUACGGGCAGACUAGAGUGCGGUAGGGGAGACUGGAAUUCCUGGUGUAGCGGUGAAAUGCGCAGAUAUCAGGAGGAACACCGGUGGCGAAGGCGGGUCUCUGGGCCGAUACUGACGCUGAGGAGCGAAGGCGUGGGGAGCGAACAGG